ACCUAGCCCCGAUUGUAGCAAUUGUUUGAGCUCCUUUUUUUUCUUUUAAAAAAAAGAGCGAGUGCGAAAAGCGGGAAAUAGC
rnacentral:sRNA from 1 species